GACGAACGCUGGCGGCGUGCCUAAUACAUGCAAGUAGAACGCUGAAGAGAGGAGCUUGCUCUUCUUGGAUGAGUUGCGAACGGGUGAGUAACGCGUAGGUAACCUGCCUUGUAGCGGGGGAUAACUAUUGGAAACGAUAGCUAAUACCGCAUAACAAUGGAUGACACAUGUCAUUUAUUUGAAAGGGGCAAUUGCCCCACUACAAGAUGGACCUGCGUUGUAUUAGCUAGUAGGUGAGGUAAUGGCUCACCUAGGCGACGAUACAUAGCCGACCUGAGAGGGUGAUCGGCCACACUGGGACUGAGACACGGCCCAGACUCCUACGGGAGGCAGCAGUAGGGAAUCUUCGGCAAUGGGGGCAACCCUGACCGAGCAACGCCGCGUGAGUGAAGAAGGGUUUCGGAUCGUAAAGCUCUGUUGUAAGUCAAGAACGGGUGUGAGAGUGGAAAGUUCACACUGUGACGGUAGCUUACCAGAAAGGGACGGCUAACUACGUG
rnacentral:rRNA from 1 species